UUCCGGUUGAUCCCGCCGGAUCUGACUGCUAUCGGAUUGAUACUAAGCCAUGCGAGUCUUUGCAGUAAUGCAAGGCAUACGGCUCAGUAACACGUAGUCAACUUACCCUAUGGACGAGGAUAAUCUCGGGAAACUGAGCAUAAUACUCGAUAGAUCAUAAUGCCUGGAAUGGUUUAUGGUUGAAAUGAUUCGUCGCCAUAGGAUAGGACCGCGGCCUAUCAGCUUGUUGGUGAGGUAAUGGCCCACCAAGGCGAUUACAGGUACGGGCUCUGAGAGGAGAAGCCCGGAGAUGGGUACUGAGACAAUGACCCAGGCCCUAUGGGGCGCAGCAGGCGAGAAAACUUUGCAAUGUGCGAAAGCACGACAAGGUUAAUCCGAGUGAUUUCUGCUAAAGAAAUCUUUUGCAAGUCAUAAAACCACUAGUGAAUAAGGGGUGGGCAAGUUCUGGUGUCAGCCGCCGCGGUAAAACCAGCACCUCAAGUGGUCAGGAGGAUUAUUGGGCCUAAAGCAUCCGUAGCCGGCUCUGUAAGUUUUCGGUUAAAUCCAUGUGCUCAACGCAUGGGCUGUCGAAAAUACUGCAUAGCUAGGGAGUGGGAGAGGUAGACGGUACUCGGUAGGAAGGGGUAAAAUCCUUUGAUCUAUCGAUGACCACCUGUGGCGAAGGCGGUCUACCAGAACACGUUCGACGGUGAGGGAUGAAAGCUGGGGGAGCAAACCGGAUUAGAUACCCGGGUAGUCCCAGCUGUAAACGAUGCAGACUCGAUGAUGCAUUGGCAUAUAGCCAGUGCAGUGUCGCAGGGAAGCCGUUAAGUCUGCCGCCUGGGAAGUACGUACGCAAGUAUGAAACUUAAAGGAAUUGGCGGGGGAGCACCACAAGGGGUGAAGCCUGCGGUUCAAUUGGAGUCAACGCCGGG
rnacentral:rRNA from 1 species